rnacentral:rRNA from 1 species
AAUUUUGGACAAUGGGGGAAACCCUGAUCCAGCAAUGCCGCGUGCAGGAUGAAGGCCUUCGGGUUGUAAACUGCUUUUGUACGGAACGAAAAGUCUUGGGCUAAUACCUAGGGAUCAUGACGGUAACGUAAUAAUAAGCACGCGCUAACUACGUGCCAGCAACCGGGGUAAAACGUAGGGUGCAAGCGUUAAUCGGAAUUACUGGGCGUAAAGCGUGCGCAGGCGGUUUUGUAAGACAGUGGUGAAAUCCCCGGGCUCAACCUGGGAACUGCCAUUGUGACUGCAAGGCUGGAGUGCGGCAGAGGGGGAUGGAAUUCCGCGUGUAGCAGUGAAAUGCGUAGAUAUGCGGAGGAACACCGAUGGCGAAGGCAAUCCCCUGGGCCUGCACUGACGCUCAUGCACGAAAGCGUGGGGAACAAACAGG